AGCUUUGCACAGUGGUAGUAUCAUAUCCAAUGAGGUUUAUCUGUGGCAUGAUUAUUGCUAAUUGAUGCUUCCCUCUUCAGGAAUUGAAACAACUUCUUCAGGAAUGAAAGCUUGGGGUGGCAGGGAACUUCUCAAUACCCUGCUGGGAUGAUUUGUAACAGUUGGCAUUGGCAAUUUUUGACAGUCUCUAUAGAGA
ensembl:snRNA U4 U4 spliceosomal RNA